rnacentral:rRNA from 1 species
CCUACGGGAGGCAGCAGUGAGGAAUUUUGGACAAUGGGCGCAAGCCUAUCCAGCAAUGCCGCGUGCGGAUGAAGGCCUUCGGGUUGUAAACUGCUUUUGUACGGAACGAAACGGCGAGCUCUAAUACAGUUUGCUAAUGACGGUACCGUAAGAAUAAGCACCGGCUAACUACGUGCC